AAUAAGUCUUACCACUUAUGAUUGAACAAAUUGUACAGCCAUGCACCUUAAUAUUUGAUGAUUUUUUACGCAACAAACCAGAAGAAAGUAGACAAAUGUAAACAAUCUGACUUGUCGAAACGCUCGCACACAUAUUUUCGAAUGGCGGCAAAAUCCUGUGCGAUCGGUCAUCGGAAAUUAGAACACGUUUGUUUCUAUAACGGAUUGUCCAUGGAGACAUGCUGUUGCUACUAUGAAAACACUAUUGUGAAGGACGCAGACGUGCCCCGAUAGGCAAUGGGGGAAAUGCAGCAGCCCAGACCUUUCACCCAUGCAUCUGUGAUGUGUUUAGCUCUACUCAUGUAAAUUUAUGAGUGUUGUACACUUGCCAAACUCUCUAGCAGUUGCUAAUUUACCAAACUUUUCCUUAUUUUAUUUUAAUUGGUUCCUAGUUUGUUUGUUUUUAGUUUUUACCAAAAGCUUGAAUUCCUAUUUGUCUAGAAAUUGAUUUAGUUAUUUUUCAUGGUCAGUUGUUCAUAUAUUGAAUUGAUAUGAUUUGUGAGACUGGGUUCAUCCCCUCUGAGAAAAGAACAACUAAGUAUGGGUAAUAAUAUUUUAAUAAAAUAUUUUAAAUCCAGUAUCUGGGGCACCAGUCUAUAUAUGCCGUGUUUUAGGCAAGUAAGCCCAUGUUCCACUUAUAUUUUGUGGAAUAAGUUUGCACAAAACAUCACUUUAAAUGUUAUUAUAUAUAUUUUACUUAUCCUUUAAAAUAGAUUUUCUUAGUCAAGUGAGAUCAAAACACCUUCAUAAGCAUAUUUCCUGGAUAAAGUUUACAUGAAUAUUUACUAAAAUAGAACCUUGACAUGCAUUGUGUGCUGUUGCUUCUUUAUACAUUUUCAUAGUUUUGUGUGACAAUACUGUAUGGUAUGCUAUCCAGAUUUGAUUCAUACGAUAUAUUGUUUUAUUAUUUUAUUUAUUUAUUUUUACUGUCAUUUCGGUAUCAGAAAAUGCUGUCCUAUACAAGCAUUAACACUACAUAGAGAUAUGUAUUUAUAUGUAUUUUUAUCACUGUCUUUUGCAUUAAAAUGUGCCAUCCCUGUCAGAGCAGAGCAGGUCUGUUCAAUUUAUUGGAUACUCCUUGAGAAAACUGGUCCUUGUUAUUUGCAUUAACUGUAAUCUUAAAUUGUCAUGUGCAACCUACACAGGUUGAAAUCGCUCAUUAUUUUCUGGUUUCAUGUAAUUGUUUGUUUAGAAUCUCUAAUUUGUGCCCUGAGAAAUGAAACUUUCCUCUCAGAAAGCUUGUGUUGUCUCCAGUGGGCAGAGGCUAAUCUAAGAUAACAUGGAGCAACAUUAGAUUGUAUAUUAUAGUAUAUUUUAUGAAAGUGCAAGUGUGUGAUCUCAGGUAGGGAACCAUUUUAUUUCGUUUUAUCUAUUCCUACUUCUUGUUUUAUAUGUUGUUGCUUGGAAAAACAGUAUGCUGUAUAUUG